AACGGGGGGGGCAAGCGUUAUUCGUCGUGACUGGGCGUAAAGGGUUUGUAGACGGUUUGCAGAUUUUUUUGGAGACAUUUCGUAAUUUAUUACAUUUUUUCAAUUAAUUAUGCAAUUCUAGAGUAUAGUGUAGAAUUUUGGUACUCUCGAUGGAGGGGUGAAAUCCGUAGAUAUCGAUGGGGACUACCAAUGGCGAAGGCAGAAAUUUAUACUAUACUGACGUUGAGGAACGAAAGCAUGGGUAUCAAACGGG
rnacentral:rRNA from 1 species